GCCGUUUUAGCUCAAUGGUAGAGCACUUUGGAGGUUGAGACAUUUGCUCGUUGGUAGACCCAAAAUCAUGGCCUGGAAACUAUGAUCUCGAUGAGAAUUGUCUAUCUGAAAAAGAAGGUUGCGGGUUCGAGUCCCGUGAGCGGCU
rnacentral:tRNA from 1 species